rnacentral:rRNA from 1 species
CACACAAAACAAGCGGUGAGUGCUUUGGGGUGGGGUGACUGCGUACCUUUUGUAUAAUGGGUCAGCGACUUAUAUUCUGUAGCAAGGUUAACCGUAUAGGGGAGCCGUAGGGAAACCGAGUCUUAACCGGGCGUUAAGUUGCAGGGUAUAGACCCGAAACCCGGUGAUCUAGCCAUGGGCAGGUUGAAGGUUGGGUAACACUAACUGGAGGACCGAACCGACUAAUGUUGAAAAAUUAGCGGAUGACCUGUGGCUGGGGGUGAAAGGCCAAUCAAACCGGGAGAUAGCUGGUUCUCCCCGAAAGCUAUUUAGGUAGCGCCUCGUGAAUUCAUCUCCGGGGGUAGAGCACUGUUUCGGCUAGGGGGCCAUCCCGGCUUACCAACCCGAUGCAAACUGCGAAUACCGGAGAAUGUUAUCACGGGAGACACACGGCGGGUGCUAACGUCCGUCGUGAAGAGGGAAACAACCCAGACCGCCAGCUAAGGUCCCAAAGUCAUGGUUAAGUGGGAAACGAUGUGGGAAGGCCCAGACAGCCAGGAUGUUGGCUUAGAAGCAGCCAUCAUUUAAAGAAAGCGUAAUAGCUCACUGGUCGAGUCGGCCUGCGCGGAAGAUGUAACGGGGCUAAACCAU